rfam:Hordeum vulgare subsp. vulgare, WGS project CAJW01000000 data, contig: morex_contig_49201
CAAUUACUCCAUGCGUUCCAAAAAAUUUGUCUUAGUUUUAUCUAGAAAUGGAUGUAUCUAAAUACUAAUGCGUGACUAGAUACAUUCAUAUCUAGAUAAAUCAAAGACAAGAAUUUUGAGACGGAGAGAGUAUUUG